GCGAACAUGCAGGAUGUGGAACAACAGCUGCUGCUUUAUUUCUUCCCUGGUGAGGAAUACCGGGUCAGUGCUCUGUCCUCUGUUUUUCCUGCUUCCUCUCACAGCCAGGCACUUCUGCAAAGAACUGCAGCAAGCAGGAUGAUUUAACAGGACACCUGAACUGUAUCUGGCUGCCUGUCUAAGCCAAAAAGCAGAGAUCUCAUAGCAGAAACAUCUGAAUCUGAAAUUUAAGACAAAACUACUCAUGUUUUCAGAGCAUAAAGAGCUGAUACUGAGGGUAUUUUCGUACUUUAUUACAUCUUUUCCUGAAGGAACCCAUGAAGCAUCUAAUCUUCAUAUCAACUUUAAAAAAUCCUAACAAAAUUCUUCUGACAAUGAACCAGAGCGUUCCCCUUUUGAUACACUUCAUCCUUUCCCAAACCUCUUUUGGUGCAAAUGUGAUUUGAAACAAA